rnacentral:rRNA from 1 species
AAGCUACUAAGAGCGAAUGGUGGAUGCCUUGACUGGUAAAGGCGAUGAAGGACGUACUAGACUGCGAUAAGCUACGGGGAGCUGUCAAGAAGCUUUGAUCCGUAGAUUUCCGAAUGGGGCAACCCAAUGUAUAGAGAUAUACAUUACCUAUAUAGGAGCGAACGAGGGGAAUUGAAACAUCUUAGUACCCUCAGGAAAAGAAAUCAAUAGAGAUUGCGUCAGUAGCGGCGAGCGAAAGCGCAAGAGGGCAAACCCAGUGCUUGCACUGGGGGUUGUAGGACUGCAAUGUGCAAGAGGUAAGUUUAGCAGAACAUUCUGGAAAGUAUAACCAUAGAGGGUGAUAGUCCCGUAUGCGAAAAACAAACCUUAGCUAGCAGUAUCCUGAGUAGGGCGGGACACGAGGAAUCCUGUCUGAAUCCGGGUCGACCACGAUCCAACCCUAAAUACUAAUACCAGAUCGAUAGUGCACAAGUACCGUGAGGGAAAGGUGAAAAGAACUGAGGUGAUCAGAGUGAAAUAGAACCUGAAACCAUUUGCUUACAAUCAUUCAGAGCCCUAUGUAGCAAUACAGGGUGAUGGACUGCCUUUUGCAUAAUGAGCCUGCGAGUUGUGGUGUCUGGCAAGGUUAAGCAAACGCGAAGCCGUAGCGAAAGCGAGUCUGAAUAGGGCGCUUAGUCAGAUGCUGCAGACCCGAAACGAAGUGAUCUAUCCAUGAGCAAGUUGAAGCUAGUGUAAGAACUAGUGGAGGACUGAACCCAUAGGCGUUGAAAAGCCCCGGGAUGACUUGUGGAUAGGGGUGAAAGGCCAAUCAAACUUCGUGAUAGCUGGUUCUCUCCGAAAUAUAUUUAGGUAUAGCGUUGUGUCGUAAUAUAAGGGGGUAGAGCACUGAAUGGGCUAGGGCAUACACCAAUGUACCAAACCCUAUCAAACUCCGAAUACCUUAUAUGUAAUCACAGCAGUCAGGCGGCGAGUGAUAAAAUCCGUCGUCAAGAGGGAAACAACCCAGACUACCAGCUAAGGUCCCUAAAUCUUACUUAAGUGGAAAACGAUGUGAAGUUACUUAAACAACCAGGAGGUUGGCUUAGAAGCAGCCAUCCUUUAAAGAAAGCGUAAUAGCUCACUGGUCUAGUGAUUUUGCGCGGAAAAUAUAACGGGGCUAAAGUAAGUACCGAAGCUGUAGACUUGCACACAACUUAGAUUAUUUAAGUUUAGAAUAUGAGAAACUAAGUUAUAUGUUUAGUUAUAUUUUUACUGAUUUUUAUAGAGUAAAGAUAGAAAUAAAACUUAGUAAAAUCAGUAAAAAUAUUCUUAGACUAAAGUUAAGUAGUUUAAGUUGUGUGCAAGUGGUAGGAGAGCGUUCUAUUUGCGUCGAAGGUAUACCGGUAAGGAGUGCUGGAGCGAAUAGAAGUGAGCAUGCAGGCAUGAGUAGCGAUAAUUAAUGUGAGAAUCAUUAACGCCGUAAACCCAAGGUUUCCUACGCGAUGCUCGUCAUCGUAGGGUUAGUCGGGUCCUAAGUCGAGUCCGAAAGGGGUAGACGAUGGCAAAUUGGUUAAUAUUCCAAUACCAACAUUAGUGUGCGAUGGAAGGACGCUUAGGGCUAAGGGGGCUAGCGGAUGGAAGUGCUAGUCUAAGGUCGUAGGAGGUUAUACAGGCAAAUCCGUAUAACAAUACUCCGAGAACUGAAAGGCUUUUUGAAGUCUUCGGAUGGAUAGAAGAACCCCUGAUGCCGUCGAGCCAAGAAAAGUUUCUAAGUUUAGCUAAUGUUGCCCGUACCGUAAACCGACACAGGUGGGUGGGAUGAGUAUUCUAAGGCGCGUGGAAGAACUCUCUUUAAGGAACUCUGCAAAAUAGCACCGUAUCUUCGGUAUAAGGUGUGGUUAGCUUUGUAUUAGGAUUUACUCCGAAAGCAAGGAAACUUACAACAAAGAGUCCCUCCCGACUGUUUACCAAAAACACAGCACUCUGCUAACUCGUAAGAGGAUGUAUAGGGUGUGACGCCUGCCCGGUGCUCGAAGGUUAAUUGAUGGGGUUAGCAUUAGCGAAGCUCUUGAUCGAAGCCCGAGUAAACGGCGGCCGUAACUAUAACGGUCCUAAGGUAGCGAAAUUCCUUGUCGGUUAAAUACCGACCUGCAUGAAUGGCGUAACGAGAUGGGAGCUGUCUCAAAGAGGGAUCCAGUGAAAUUGUAGUGGAGGUGAAAAUUCCUCCUACCCGCGGCAAGACGGAGAGACCCCGUGGACCUUUACUACAGCUUGACACUGCUACUUGGAUAAGAAUGUGCAGGAUAGGUGGGAGGCUUUGAGUAUAUGACGCCAGUUGUAUAUGAGCCAUUGUUGAGAUACCACUCUUUCUUAUUUGGGUAGCUAACCAGCUUGAGUUAUCCUCAAGUGGGACAAUGUCUGGUGGGUAGUUUGACUGGGGCGGUCGCCUCCCAAAUAAUAACGGAGGCUUACAAAGGUUGGCUCAGAACGGUUGGAAAUCGUUCGUAGAGUAUAAAGGUAUAAGCCAGCUUAACUGCAAGACAUACAAGUCAAGCAGAGACGAAAGUCGGUCUUAGUGAUCCGGUGGUUCUGUGUGGAAGGGCCAUCGCUCAAAGGAUAAAAGGUACCCCGGGGAUAACAGGCUGAUCUCCCCCAAGAGCUCACAUCGACGGGGAGGUUUGGCACCUCGAUGUCGGCUCAUCGCAUCCUGGGGCUGGAGCAGGUCCCAAGGGUAUGGCUGUUCGCCAUUUAAAGCGGUACGCGAGCUGGGUUCAGAACGUCGUGAGACAGUUCGGUCCCUAUCUGCCGUGGGCGUAAGAAGAUUGAAGAGAUUUGACCCUAGUACGAGAGGACCGGGUUGAACAAACCACUGGUGUAGCUGUUGUUCUGCCAAGAGCAUCGCAGCGUAGCUAAGUUUGGAAAGGAUAAACGCUGAAAGCAUCUAAGCGUGAAGCCAACUCUAAGAUGAAUCUUCUCUAAGCUCUCUAGAAGACUACUAGUUUGAUAGGCUGGGUGUGUAAUGGAUGAAAGUCCUUUAGCUGACCAGUACUAAUAGAGCGUUUGGCUUAUCU